AGUAAGGUGUGUCACUAGCGGCUUGAAGAUCUUUACUGCUUCAAUUCGAUCGGCCCACCAGAAAGUGUUUCCGGUUAAACCAGAUCUAAUCUUCCUCGGUAGCCGUUUGCUGCAGAGCUGCGCGACAUGAUUGAAAGUAGUUUGUGCGGUCCCAAAAUACAACAUUUGCCAGUGAUGUCAUGCCCCAUCCCCUAGCAGCCGAACCGCACGAGGCGCUUGGCGUCUCGGGAGGAGCUCCAACACGCGUUUGUUCUCGUGGGACUACCCAUUCAUUCGGGCGAGCCUACGAACGGCGACGACGACAGCGCGUACAACAAGUGGGACCAGCUCUUGAGCGCAAAAAAUAAACACACCAUUUUUACACCUCACAUCCGACGCUACUGAGACAAACUGAGUCUACAAAGUAUGAAAAAUUAAUUUGUUAUGUAAGAAGAAAGAUCGCGCAUUGAAUGCACCGAAGCGAGGAAGGAAAAAACGACACAAUGGCGGAAUAAUUGUGGCGCCUAAAUAUCCGUAUAAAUUAAGCAUCAAUAAACUGAAAAAAGUGUGACUAGCAAUUAAUAUAGGCACACCGGCGCACCCUAGACUAGAACCAGCGUUCCUUGGUGGUCGGUCAGAAACUACUACUAAGCACCCAGCUCCUCUCCCAUUCUGUAUUGAGUUGCAUUCGCUUCGGCGUGAAACUCCAUCGAUCCAAGCGAGCGUGAAGUUCGAUCAAAGCAACCAAGUCAGUCAAUUAAGCCGUACGGAGUGAAUGAAGUGCUGUUUAAAUUAGAAGACAAUUGAAGCGUUCAUCCAAGUCAACCCUGCUGUUGCUGCUGGGACCGUCUCAGGGUGGCGCGUGCCCGUGAGUCGACAUCGGAAAGGUCGACCGAUUAAUUCGUAUUUGUUAUGCGCAUAAAAAUUGGGCGCGCCUGAUUUAUUGCCUGCUUGUUUGCUGCUCGGACGGUGAAGAGCCGGGGGGCGUCGGUUUUUUUUAUUGCUGCGACACACAAUCUUCGCUUGUUUUACGGGAAUCCCUCGAUAAGGGGCAGGUGAAUUCGAUGUGACGAUUAUUGUGCCCGAAGCAGUUGAAAUAGUUUGUACUAGGACAAAACGCCUCUUCGGGAAGAUUCAUCGCCAUUACAUCAUCUCUACUCGAACUGUUUUGAUUGGUACAUUGGCUCAAAAACAGUUGAACAUAGCAUAGCAUAGCAUAGCAUAUUUGAUCGCCCGUGUGUUGCCCGCGAUUGACCAGAACCAGCUGAAAUUGCACAAAAAACCGUCAAAAUGGUGCCUAGGAGUCGCAAGCCAUUUUCAGUGUACAAUUCCUGGUGAUUUUUCUUUUCACUGGUCAAUAACGUAGCUGGCCACGCCCAAUGCAGAUCAAUAGAGGAAGGGAUAUCGGGAGUGUUAGUUUAAUACUUGUUGCUACUAGAGACCGAGGAAUCCUCUGCAUCAUCCACAAGUAUCAAAGGAAGGAAUUAGUGUUAGUGGAAAGGAAUUGAUCUGGAUCCAUCGAGGUUGAUGGUGCGAUCUUUUCUACACAAAUUCGCGCCCGAUAUGGAUAUUUCUCGGUCUCUGCGCAACCGGCCAUCAGAAGACGAUAUAAAUAGAACCGCAUCACGAUCGCUGUAUCGGCAUAUAGAAGAAUCGAAGUUUCUAGGUAUCAUCGGCAACCAAUCGUUAACAGUCUGUAUCACACCAAACUUCGCGUUUCAUCCCAUGAACUAUUAAAAUUUACCUCGAAACGAAUGAAUUUCGUAAAACGCACCGCACGCCGAACGCAAACUACUGGUACCAGCUCAAAGAACCGUUAGAGCGAGUAAAAAAAACCCACAAGGCACACCCGAGCAUUAUACGAUGUAAUGGUCAUUGAGCUCCGAAACCGCUGUAUUAAGAUAGUUACACUGAGCGCUGUCAAAAUAACGUGCACGAAACUGAGCUGACCUCCCCGAAGUAAACAAUAGCGUGCCCACUGCACUCCGGAAACUCCUAGAUAAACAAAACUCACCCGGGCCGAUGAUGCGUUUCACCGGGGCAUUAUGGACGACCGCUCCAUUUUCUCCUACCGACGCAUACGCGACACGACGUUUCGCACAAAAGACACCUACUGAAUAUAAAAACUGACAAAGUUCCAUGCAUUCAUAGCCCAAAAACUUAAAAAAAUGCAAAUAAGCAUAUUAAACAAAAAAAAAUUCCAAGUUUAUUGUCAAAAUGCCAAAAUAAUUGCAAUCAAAGUUCAGUUGUCGUGAACUAUUUUCACGCCCAAAACGAUUUCAACAUUAUUAAAUAAAAGUUACUUAUGUAUAUCAACAUUUGUCCAAAAGCUAGGAAAAUCAUAAAACAAGAACAUAGAACUGAAUAAAAUGUCAACGCCCUGCCAGGACUCACAAUUGUAGACGAUGCAUCAAUCGCAUGCCGCAUUGUCAUGCUCGAAUGAUAAAUUUUGAAACUAUAUUGUAAAACUGCCAAUUUUGACCUGUGAGAGUGCACCGUACAAUCUGGUUUGUAAAUAUAAAAAAAAAACUCCACCCGCAACCGAAAAGCAACCACACUUUGUGCACCCAACAGAUGACACAUUUACACUUCUGGCAAAGUCCUAAACCCGCUAAAAACCACUACACACAGAGCCUAUGCAUUCUUAAAAUGUUUGAUACAAAAACUUAUACUCAUCUGUUUUAUUUUGGUUAUGCCUAUGCCAGCGAAACAAACGCCGACAAGCACAGCGCAACACUAAUCUCUUCGCUCUCUCGCCAGAUAUUAUUGUUCUCUUCGCUCACACCGCCAUGCAUUCCAUUUUCGCAUGUUAAUAACGAACCGCUAGUUAGCGCGACGCACAAAGUAGGCACUUACACUCACGCAACUUAGCUGGCCUUACAAUUUUCAAUUGCAAUUCGAGGAAAAAAUACUAUUUUCACGCAAAGAACACUGUGUUUUUCACAAAACCUUCACUUUUCUCACUUAGACAAAGCAUCACAGAUCACAACUUGACACUUUUUAACAAGUUUGGCCACUUAAUUCACCAAAAAUUAUUAACUCAAACGGAUAGCUUUCGGGGCACGUAUUAUUAGUUGGCCGUGAUGCCAGCCUCUC